AUGGCGAUCGGCGCGGACGGCCUGGAGGAGGCGCCGCCGCUGCUCCUCGACGCCGACGAGGCCGCCUACCCGCGCCCGCGCCGCGUCGCGCUCUUCGUCGAGCCGUCGCCGUUCGCCUACAUCUCCGGGUACAAGAACCGGUUCCAGAACUUCAUCAAGCACCUGCGCGAAAUGGGCGACGAGGUCAUUGUUGUGACUAACCAUGAGGGGGUUCCCCAGGAGUUCCACGGCGCCAAGGUUAUUGGUUCAUGGAGCUUUCCAUGCCCACUGUAUGGAAAGGUUCCUCUGUCACUGGCACUCAGCCCUAGGAUCAUCUCAGAGGUUGCAAAGUUCAAGCCUGACAUCAUUCAUGCAUCCUCACCUGGAAUUAUGGUUUUUGGGGCCCUUGCUAUUGCUAAGCUGCUCAGCGUCCCCCUAGUGAUGUCCUACCACACCCAUGUCCCAGUAUACAUUCCAAGAUAUACAUUCAGCUGGCUUGUGGAACCGAUGUGGCAAAUCAUCAGGUUCCUUCAUAGAGCUGCUGAUCUAACUUUGGUGCCAUCUGCUGCUAUCAGCAAGGAUUUUGAAACUGCCCAUGUCAUUUCUGCUAACAGGAUACGCCUUUGGAACAAAGGCGUCGAUUCUGCCAGCUUCCAUCCCAGGUUCCGCAGCCAUGAGAUGCGAGUCAGGCUAAGUGAUGGUGAGCCCGAAAAACCGUUGAUAAUUCACGUCGGACGCUUUGGGCGCGAGAAGAAUCUGGAUUUCCUGAAAAUGGUAAUGGACCGGUUGCCUGGAGUAAGAAUUGCAUUCAUCGGAGAUGGACCAUAUAGGACAGAGCUAGAGAAGAUGUUUGAGGGGAUGCCGGCGGUGUUCACCGGGAUGAUGCAAGGGGAGGAGCUCUCGCAGGCAUACGCGAGCGGCGACGUGUUCGUGAUGCCCUCGGAGUCGGAGACGCUCGGCCAAGUAGUCCUGGAGUCCAUGUCGUCCGGGGUGCCCGUGGUGGCGGUCCGCGCCGGCGGGAUCCCCGACAUAAUCCCGGAGGACGUGGAGGGGAGGACCAGCUUCCUCUUCGCCCCGGGGGACCUCGACGACUGCGUCGGCAAGAUCAGGCUGCUGCUGACGGACGACGAGUUCAGGGGCGAAAUGGGGAGGACCGCCAGGGCGGAAAUGGAGAAGUGUGACUGGAGGGCCGCCUCCAAGACGAUCCGCAACGAGUUCUACAGCUCGGCAAUCGACUACUGGCGGAAGAAGCAGGCGGAGAUGGUCCAGCCGCUGCAAUGGCUGGCACAAAUGUUCAUGCCGGCGCCGAACCGGGUCAUUGGCGGCGGCAUCAAGCAGUAG
rnacentral:rRNA from 1 species